rnacentral:rRNA from 1 species
GACAGAGGGUGCAAACGUUGUUCGGAAUUACUGGGCGUAAAGCGCGUGUAGGCGGCUAUGCAAGUCGGGUGUGAAAUCCCACGGCUCAACCGUGGAAGUGCACUCGAAACUGCGCGGCUUGAGGUAGGUAGGGGAGAUCGGAAUUCCUGGUGUAGCGGUGGAAUGCGCAGAUAUCAGGAGGAACACCGGUGGCGAAGGCGGAUCUCUGGGCCUUACCUGACGCUGAGACGCGAAAGCUAGGGGAGCGAACAGG